GAGUUUGAUCAUGGCUCAGAUUGAACGCUGGCGGCAGGCCUAACACAUGCAAGUCGAACGGUAACAGAACUAGCUUGCUAGUUGCUGACGAGUGGCGGACGGGUGAGUAAUACUUAGGGAUCUGCCUCUGUGUGGGGGAUAACUAUUGGAAACGAUAGCUAAUACCGCAUAACGUCUACGGACCAAAGAGGGCUUCGGCUCUCGCGCAGAGAGGAACCUAAGUGAGAUUAGCUUGUUGGUGAGGUAAAGGCUCACCAAGGCGACGAUCUCUAGCUGUUCUGAGAGGAAGAUCAGCCACACUGGAACUGAGACACGGUCCAGACUCCUACGGGAGGCAGCAGUGGGGAAUAUUGCACAAUGGGGGCAACCCUGAUGCAGCCAUGCCGCGUGUGUGAAGAAGGCCUUCGGGUUGUAAAGCACUUUCAGUUGUGAGGAAAGGUUAGUAGUUAAUACCUGCUAGCUGUGACGUUAACAACAGAAGAAGCACCGGCUAACUCCGUGCCAGCAGCCGCGGUAAUACGGAGGGUGCGAGCGUUAAUCGGAAUUACUGGGCGUAAAGCGCACGCAGGCGGUCUGUUAAGCUAGAUGUGAAAGCCCCGCGCUCA
rnacentral:rRNA from 1 species